UGGGAGUAUCGAUCACAUGAUGCAAGGAUUUCAGACAGGUAUCUGGAACUGCAGGUAAAAGUUAGUUCCUAGUUUCUCUCUCUCUCUAAAUUUCUCUCUUGAGUCAAAGUCUGCUUCCAUUGCAGGAUCAGUGACCAAGAUUGGACAGGCUUUGAUGAAUCAAAACUUAAUGGUGGUUGCCACCAAGUUCUGUUCACUUCUUUUUGACCUAUAUCCAAGAGUUCUUUGCGAAAGCGAGCCUUGAAGAUUGCCUCCUCCAAGUCCUGUUUCGAACUCUUUUAUUUGAGUCCUUAUGAAUCAAGCCUUAAUGGUUUUAGCCACCAAGUCUUGUUCAGACUCAUCCUAAUUAAACAAUAGAUCUUUUUUUUUUAAUAUAAUUUUUUUUUUUUAAAUAGAAACUCACUAACUAAUCUAGGGUCAAAAUCUAGAGAGAGAAAAUGUGAUAAAUAAUCUAAACCAGGCGUUACCUUCCAGACCUGUCUGAAGAAUCCGAUCCCAUGUAUACCAAGCCCCAAGACAAACGGUUAUGUCAGGUUUAGCAUUGGGAAUCAGCUUUGGUUACUUCAUACGGUUCAAGGCAAGUGUAUAGUUGAUAGGUUGUCCGCUUUAGCAUCUUUAGUGCUAUCUGCAAUCAGUAAAUCUAAAAUGGUGCUAAAGAUUGGUUAGAUGUUCAUGUUUAAAUCAAUAUAAGAUUAUAGUCCCUAUUUUUAAUAACUAAG
rnacentral:lncRNA from 1 species